GCUGGAUGUGGGGUCGGAUCCCAGAAUCCUGCGAUCAUGACUUGAGCCGAAGGCAGAUGCCUAACAACUAAACCACCUGGAUGCCCCUCCUGGUGCCUUUAUAAGAAAGGACAACAGAUUUCUCCCUCUCUCUCCUUGGGUGCACACAGAGAAGGCUACAUGAGGGCCCAGCAAGAAUGUGUGUUUGCAAGCUGAGGAGACAGGUCUCACUGGAAGCCACAUCUGCCAGCACCUUAACUUGGGCCUUUCAGCCUCUAGAACAAUGACAGAAUACAUUCCUGUUGGUUAAGCCACCCAGUCUGCGGUCUCUUGCCAUGGUGGGCUGAGCAGACGAAUACAAUUCCUCACAACGUUGGUGAGGGAGGAGCCAGGCGCACUUGGAUUUCAAGUUCCACUUUCAUGGAUUGCCUCACUCGGCCAAUACAGAAGUUCUGCUAUGGGUCAGACAUGGUGCAGGCACUGGCUUCAAUGCCCACAGGAGAGACGCAUGGCUUCGGCUCACACUCCGUUGGCCACCCUUGAUGACGAAGGAGGUGGAAGUGUAGUCCAGCUCGGUGCCCAGGAAGAGGAGGACAUGAGUUUGGUGACCAGUUACCCAGGCCUUCUACAGUAGGUCAGGGCUAAGCUCAGUCAAGGGGGCACGGUGCACCCAGGCUCUGCUGGAAUUUCCCACGCGGACCAGCUCCAGGUAAGUAAGUUGAAGGAAGCAGGAUUGAUUCCAGGGCACUGGCUGACCAUUAGCAAGGUUAAGGGCUAUGAAAACUGUCUCUAGCCGAGGCCAACGGGAAACCUGUCCUGAAGGCCUCAGGAGAGCACUCUGUGAGGAGUUUGUGAGAGAAACCACCUGGACUGCACCUACCACAGCAUUUGUGGGCUGGCAGAGAGAGGAACCUUGUGAACUGUAACUGGGCGGCCUUGACGAGAGGGAAGCCUCCCUGAGAAGGGACAUUUGGACAGAGACGCAAAGAUGCUGAAUCAUAAGGACACCUGUCCGAGGGCAACGGGAGCAGCAAGUCCCAACCCCCUGUAGUAGGAGCAGGCCUGCAGUGUUGAGGACCCUGCUGCAAUAAUCUGGGCUAAACGAGAGACAAAGGUGGUGACCGUGAGCAGGGGCAGGGGGAGAAGUGGUUAGCUUCUUGAUCUAUUUUGUAUGCUUAUCCCUCCUUACCUCACUUCCUUCCUUUUUUCAGUUUUCUCAUGAAGACACACUGAGGUGUUUCCACAUCCGUGCCCUCUUCUAGACUCUACACCCUUUGAGGGUAAGGCCUGGGCCUGGCUUCUCUCCCUACCCUCACACCUGGCCCGGAGAGGGCCCAGUGCCAGCGCCCAGCAAACAAGCCUGUGGAGAGACAGCACGUCCUCCUGAGUCAUCAGAUUUCACGGGGCUGAGCCGAAGCCCUGCUUGUCAGCAUGUUGCUCACUGAUGGGAAAAGCUUUCCUGUGGUCUAGACACUCCUGACUCCAGUCUAAAGAGACCUUCUAAAGAAGGUUUCAUCCCUCAUCCUGUGUGCAGGGGCUCACGGUGUAGUGGUUACAAAACCCGUGAGCUCUGGAACCGGACAGACCUGAGUGGGCAUCAGAGCUUCCAUUCUUCCUCGAGAAGCUCUCUGGGCUUCAGUUUUUUCAUCUGUAAAAUGAGCACAGUCAUAGUAUCUCCCCAGGAGCUCAGCUGUGACGAUGAACUGGGGUGCCAGGACCCGACCGCCCCAUCCUCGCCCAGCGCCAGAGUCUGCCUGCCAGACCCUUGUCAGCGGUUACAACCAGCAGCUGCCUCCCGCUGCCCGAGUUUUAUCAAAAGCUCAGUUGAGAGAAAUAAAGUUCAUGGGGGUUAUUUAA